ensembl:piRNA 21ur-10497 ncRNA
CCUUCAAGAACAAUGCAAAAG